CCUACGGGUGGCAGCAGUGGGGAAUAUUGGACAAUGGGGGGAACCCUGAUCCAGCCAUUCCGCGUGUGUGAAGAAGGCCCUCGGGUUGUAAAGCACUUUCAGUGAGGAAGAACGCCUGGUGGUUAAUACCCAUCAGGAAAGACAUCACUCACAGAAGAAGCACCGGCUAACUCCGUGCCAGCAGCCGCGGUAAUACGGAGGGUGCGAGCGUUAAUCGGAAUUACUGGGCGUAAAGCGCGCGUAGGUGGCUUGAUAAGCCGGUUGUGAAAGCCCCGGGCUCAACCUGGGAACGGCAUCCGGAACUGUCAAGCUAGAGUGCAGGAGAGGAAGGUAGAAUUCCCGGUGUAGCGGUGAAAUGCGUAGAGAUCGGGAGGAAUACCAGUGGCGAAGGCGGCCUUCUGGACUGACACUGACACUGAGGUGCGAAAGCGUGGGUAGCAAACAGGAUUAGAUACCCCUGUAGUC
rnacentral:rRNA from 1 species